rnacentral:lncRNA from 1 species
GAGCCGAGGUUUCUUCGAGACUAGGCUUCUACGUGGCGUCCUUCUCAACUAAGGGCGAGCAAACAAGCAAAGCAAGUAAGCAAGCACUGGGCUCCAACUUCUCCAUCUGUCUUAGAUUAUCCCUCAACCUUAAACGACAGGUUCUCUUUUUUUCGUUAGAUUGCGAGAAGGCGGUGCCUAUUACCACAAGGUACGUCUGGCAGGUUCGGUGAAGGACACAUCGGUGGUGGAGCCAUCCGCACACAUCCAAUAUAUAUAUUAUAUACAUACACAUUCAUGAACAUCAGUUGUGCAUGUGUGUGCGUGUGUAUAUAGAUCGAUCGAUCUGACCCUGAGAAGUGAGAUGCUGGAGCAGCACAGCGAGUGAGUGCCCCACUGGAGAGUACCAUUCCCGGGGGACUGCUUCUGGAACUGGUCUUUGAUUGUGUGAUCGUGAAAGUCGUGCUACCUUGGAUCGGAUGUCGUCAUCGGGUUCGCUUGUGACGCACAUGGUGUUCGAUAUUCAGCAGGAUGGGACUGAUUCUUGGUUCUAUCACGACGCCAUUCUCCUUUCUAUUCUAAGGUUCGUGCUCUUUCCAACUUGCUAGCUGUAUCAACUUCCAAACCACACAUGUGGCUCUUGGACGUGGGCUUGUCUACAGUACUUGCUCGAUGAAGGGGCAGAGCGAGGAGGGGCGAAGGGGCUGCCAUCUCUCAGUUGUCUGCUGAGCGACCUGGACACAACACAAGAGGAGAAGCUGCUCGAAUUCGUUGUGCCAUCUUGGUUGCAACUUGGUAGAUCAACCUGGACCCAACAGAAGAUGCCUAGCUGAUCGACUUUGUUGUGCCAUCUUGGAUAAAACUUGGUAGAUCGAUACUAACCUAACACAACUUGCUCAAUUGUUUUGGACUUCGUUUAACACAACUUGCUCAAUUGUUUUGGACUUCGUUGCAGCAUUAAGUAGCAACUUGAGAGAUCUACCUGGACCCAACACAAGAUGCAGAGUUUCUAGCCUUGAUUGUGUUAUGUUGAAUGUAAUUUGUCAAUGUUGCAAGAUUGUAGAUUGUUUCAUAGAACUUACACAUUAUUGUACAUAUCAAUUAGAGGGACUUUGUUUUUAUAUCGUUCAUUCUAGCAUCACCAUCAUAUUUCUUGAUUAUCAUGAUUGAAUGUAUUCAUGAUUUACAAUUUGUUCAUUUUGUUUCAUAAAUGUAUAUACUUGAUGUCUGAUAAUAAAAAUAACAAUGAGAAAAAAAAUAGUUUGUUAUUUUCAUUGUCAUGCAUGAAGUAUGAGUAUAUUUAUAGAACAAGAUUGACAAGUUGUAAUCCAUGCAUGCAUUUAAUCAUGAUAAUCAAGGAAUAAGAUGGUGAUACUAUUGAGAUAAAUCUUUGAUCAAAAUCUUUUCAAUUGAUAUACAUAAUAAUGAUGUGUAACUUUCAUGAAAAUAAUUUACAACUCCAAAGCAUUUGUAAAUUCCAUUCAAAAAUAAUACUAUCAAAGCUAGUACUUCAACAACAUGUGUUGAAUUAGAACAAUUAAAGGUAGUGAUGGUGAAUUCAACUUUGAUGGUGU